UUAAUUGAAGAGUUUGAUCAUGGCUCAGAUUGAACGCUGGCGGCAGGCCUAACACAUGCAAGUCGAGCGGAAACGACUUAACUGAACCUUCGGGGGGCGUUAAGGGCGUCGAGCGGCGGACGGGUGAGUAAUGCCUGGGAAUAUGCCUUAGUGUGGGGGAUAACUAUUGGAAACGAUAGCUAAUACCGCAUAAUGUCUUCGGACCAAAGAGGGGGACCUUCGGGCCUCUCGCGCUAAGAUUAGCCCAGGUGGGAUUAGCUUGUUGGUGAGGUAAGAGCUCA
rnacentral:rRNA from 1 species